rnacentral:rRNA from 1 species
CCUACGGGAGGCAGCAGUAGGGAAUUUUCGUCAAUGGGCGCAAGCCUGAACGAGCGAUGCCGCGUGAGUGAAGAAGGCCUUCGGGUCGUAAAGCUCUGUUGCGGGGGAAAAAAGGCAGCAUCAGGAAAUGGGUGCUGACUGAUGGUGCCCCGCCAGAAAGUCACGGCUAACUACGUGCCAGCAGCCGCGGUAAUACGUAGGUGACGAGCGUUAUCCGGAAGGAUUGGGCGUAAAGGGUGCGCAGGCGGUCCUGCAAGUCUGGAGUGAAACGCAUGAGCUCAACUCAUGCAUGGCUUUGGAAACUGGAGGACUGGAGAGCAGGAGAGGGCGGGGGAACUCCAUGUGUAGCGGUAAAAUGCGUAGAUAUAUGGAAGAACACCAGUGGCGAAGGCGGCCGCCUGGCCUGUUGCUGACGCUGAGGCACGAAAGCGUGGGGAGCAAAUAGGAUUAGAUACCCCUGUAGUC